AUGGGGCGAGCACACACUGGCGCGGCACUGUGGGCGGAGCUUACAGCUACCGGUGGAGGCCUCGCACUUGCAGCAUCUGACCGACUCCUGAGAACGUGCUCCAUGAUUCGCGUGGCCCUGGCGACUGGCAUCGCGGGAGUAGAGAUGCUCACGAGCUGCCUGGCAGUCGGCCUGACUCCCUGGUCUGCGGCCGUUGGCGCCGCGCUCGGUGUGAGGAGGUCUGGACCUUUCUCAGCAGGACCGGUGGUGACCCUGGGAGUCCUGCUGGCGAAGGCCACGGAAGCGGUGCUGGCGUGGGACACGCGGGGAUUCCUGGUGGGACUUGGUGUUGCAUUAGUAGCCGCGGGCAGAGUCGCGCUCCCAGCAGUUCCUCCGGUUCUUCCCGCAGCUCCACUGAAGGCACUGAUGGACCUGAUGACAAGUUGUAGGAUCAGGACUGCCAUCACGUUCCUGGGCCUGUCUAUAUGCUUUGCACAGGCACACGGCCUGUCUGCUGUGGUGAUUUUGUUUCUGGGCCUACGGCGCUGCCCGAUCAGAGUCCUCUCAAGGCAGAUGCCAGGUUGUGAGCCGAACACGGGCACUUUUUUUGCGUCCAUGUUUUUGUCAGGAGCAGGAUUUGGCACCAGGGCGUUUUUCUCUUCUGCACAGUACGGCUCUCUGCUGCAGAAAACCGCGGCGGUGUUGUCCUCGUCGAUGCAGGCCGGGCCGGCGCUCGCCGCUCUGGGGACCUGCUCCGCCCUGCUGCCGAAGGGGACGGACGCUGAGAAGGUGGCUGCCGGGGCAGCGGGCACGGCCCUGUUGGCGCUGACGCUCGCGCAGGGGCCCUCGCUGGAGGGAGGAGCCCUGCUUGGAAUCGGCGCCGCGGGCGUGGCGGCGAGAAAGCAGUUCGGAGGGGUGGGAGGUUUACUCGGGUUUGAGGGGGCCGUCGCGGCGUUCGUCCUCGCGUUGGCAGGGACGCUGAUGCCGGUGAGGAGUAUUCUGGGGUCCGCGGUACUGAACAGACGUCGGACCCUUCAGGGUCACCGCGAUCGGGUCUACUGUCCUCGGGACAGCGCCACUGGCCACAGGGCCGGUGGGGUCACCGCUGCUGGUCGCUUUCUGCGAUCAGGAGCCAAUCUGCACAGCCGUAGGCUGUAGUGCAGUUUUAUUUCUUUUAAUGAUAAUAAUUACACCGUUAGUUGAUGUUUAUUAAACUUGAACAUUUGAAUUAAUGUACGAUUGCAUAAAAAAAAAAAAAAAAACACUUAUCAGUGCGAAUAUUCCAGGUCCAUUUUUAUUUGUAAAAUAUUGUACGUGAUUCCUUGUGAUUCCUACUUUUGUUAUUGACUGACUGGAAUAACGGGCAGAAUACGGCAGCAGAUACUGAUGAUGAAUUUGGUUUUAAUGAUUUUAUUAAAUGCAUAUUUUGCUUCUCUUCCGUCUCUGUCUUUGUCAGUCUGUUAUUUUUCGCUACUGUGUAAGAGGCUGCAGUUAAAUUUCUGUCUGUGUUGAGAAAUUCACAUAAAAUGAUUGUUACUACAGUUUUUCUGCACGUACAUUAUGUGCAUUAUUAAGCACAACAACACAAAAUCAUUACGACAACAGAACCCCAUUCUUACUUUCUGAAUAAGGGUACAAUAUUUCUGCGCAUGACCCGUAAUCUGAACUACUGUAGGAGAUCUAAUCUGCAUUAAACGCCACGUGGCCGCUUUUGGAAAGCCCCAGUCAAGCAAAAGGGGAAUUUAACCAGACACAGAAAGCACAAGGACAAUAAGCAUCCGGAACCUACAACCUGCUGCAUCUCCUGCGUGAUUCGUCCAACUACACGCCAGACAGCGGGUGGGGAGAACCUCACGUGCUGCCUGACCGUGGGCCCGGUUCUGGGGUCUGGACUGGCGGCGGCCGCCCUCAUGGAGAAGUCGGGACCAAGGUCUGCUGCUACGGUCUCCGUAGGAGCCGCGGGCGCUGGGGUCGUGCUGGUGGAAGGUGUAGUGUGGUAGCGGCCUAGCGGGUAACACACUCGCCUAUGAACCAGAAGACCCAGGUUCGAACCCCACUUACUACCAUUGUGUCCCUGAGCAAGACACUUAACCCUGAGUGUCUCCAGGUGGGGACCGUCCCUGUAACUACUGACUGUAAGUCGCUCUGGAUAAGGGCGUCUGGUAAAUGCUGGAAAUGUAAAUAAAAGCCAUCCAAGCGGUGCCGGUCUGGAACA
rnacentral:lncRNA from 1 species